rnacentral:rRNA from 1 species
CAUCAGCUCGAGUGAG